GUGAGGAACAAACUGAGCUGUGGAAAUUUUAAUUUGGCUGUUGUCCCCUCCAGCCUGGUUGCCCAAAAUGAAGUCAGAAGCCUUGGACUGGGAAUUCCACGUUGGCAGAUUUUGAAAAGCUGGCCUGAAUGGUUCUAUCGACGAUGUUCAGACAUCAAAGAGCGUGCAAUUAAUAAUGGGCAUCUGGAGGGCCGAUCACAUGCUUCCGAUGUUAAAGUGGUGAACGACAGGAAAAUCAG